rnacentral:rRNA from 1 species
ACGGGGGGCCUACGGGAGGCAGCAGUGGGGAAUUUUGGACAAUGGGGGAAACCCUGAUCCAGCAAUGCCGCGUGUGUGAAGAAGGCCUUCGGGUUGUAAAGCACUUUAUCCGGAAAGAAAACUCACGGGGCUAAUACCUCGGAGGAUGA